GAUGAACGCUGGCGGCGUGCCUAAUACAUGCAAGUCGAGCGAACAGAUAAGGAGCUUGCUCCUUUGACGUUAGCGGCGGACGGGUGAGUAACACGUGGGUAACCUACCUAUAAGACUGGAAUAACUCCGGGAAACCGGGGCUAAUGCCGGAUAACAUUUAGAACCGCAUGGUUCUAAAGUGAAAGAUGGUUUUGCUAUCACUUAUAGAUGGACCCGCGCCGUAUUAGCUAGUUGGUAAGGUAACGGCUUACCAAGGCAACGAUACGUAGCCGACCUGAGAGGGUGUUCGGCCACACUGGAACUGAGACACGGUCCAGACUCCUACGGGAGGCAGCAGUAGGGAAUCUUCCGCAAUGGGCGAAAGCCUGACGGAGCAACGCCGCGUGAGUGAUGAAGGUCUUCGGAUCGUAAAACUCUGUUAUUAGGGAAGAACAAAUGUGUAAGUAACUGUGCACGUCUUGACGGUACCUAAUCAGAAAGCCACGGCUAACUACGUG
rnacentral:rRNA from 1 species